CGCUGUGCCCCGGAAGCGGAAGUGUGGCUCCCGAUCUGUCAGAGGCUCGGUGCUGCUCGGUGGUCCUGAAGUCUAGGAAAGUCGUUUCUCGCUCAUUUUCCGUGGCUGUCGAGCGCUUCCCCCCGGCGGGUGGGAGUGCAGAGCCGGAAGUGCAGGAUGAGCACCAUGUUCGCGGACACGCUGCUCAUCGUGUUCAUCUCCGUGUGCACAGCUCUUCUCGCCGAGGGUAUCACCUGGGUUCUGGUUUACAGGACGGACAAGUACAAGAGGCUGAAGGCGGAAGUGGAAAAACAGAGUAAAAAAUUGGAAAAGAAGAAGGAAACAAUAACAGAGUCAGCUGGCCGACAACAGAAAAAGAAAAUAGAGAGGCAAGAAGAGAAGCUGAAGAACAACAACAGAGACCUAUCCAUGGUUCGAAUGAAAUCCAUGUUUGCAAUUGGCUUUUGUUUUACUGCCCUGAUGGGGAUGUUCAAUUCCAUAUUUGAUGGCAGAGUGGUGGCAAAGCUCCCUUUCACGCCCCUUUCCUACAUCCAAGGGCUGUCCCAUCGAAAUCUGCUGGGGGAUGACACCACUGACUGCUCCUUCAUCUUCCUGUAUAUUCUCUGCACCAUGUCCAUUCGGCAGCUGCCUUGACCUUCACACCCAGCUAUUUCCUUUGUGCAUUUGUAGCGGUGGAAGCGGUAGGCCCGCCAACUUCCCUGAGAGGUGUCAGUAACAGUCCAGGGUGGUGACGGGCAUUUCCUUCACUCCUUCAUUAAGAACAUCCAGAAGAUUCUCGGCCUUGCCCCUUCGCGAGCUGCCACCAAGCAGGCAGGCGGGUUUCUUGGCCCUCCACCUCCUUCUGGGAAGUUCUCCUGAAAUCAAGAAGAAUCUGCAAUUCCUGCCACUUUUUAAGGUCUUCAAAUUAGAGGAGCAACUAUUUUAUAGCAAGAGCCACCGGCAGCCUUGGCACUCGGGCCACUUUCUCGCCUUGUUUCUAGACUUUAUGGAUGUGAUUAGAGUGCGAACGGCACCCAGCAAACCAGACGGCAGCGUGCCCACUAGAUAAGUGGAGGGGCGUCUGUGAUGAGAAAGUCUUCUUGUUUUGUUUACCCGAACAUUUUCGUGGGACCGACGCGAGACGGCUGUGUGCCCAGGAAGCCGGCUGCGCAAGCCUUUAGCGGUCAGAAAGGAAAGUAGCUUUCCAGUAGUUAGUUAUGACUCUUAAUCGUGUGGGUUUUUUAAGCCAAAUCUAUGACCUGUGAUCAAUAAAGAGGCCAAAAUUUU